rnacentral:tRNA from 1 species
CACUAAGAAGCUUUUAUAGCACUAGCCUUUUAAGCUAGUGAGGGAGAAUUACACUCCCUUAGUGA